AGAGUUUGAUCAUGGCUCAGGACGAACGCUGGCGGCGUGCCUAAUACAUGCAAGUCGAGCGGAAUGAUGAAGAAGCUUGCUUCUUCUGAUUUUAGCGGCGGACGGGUGAGUAACACGUGGGCAACCUACCUUGUAGAUUGGGAUAACUCCGGGAAACCGGGGCUAAUACCGAAUAAACCAUUUUGCUUCAUGGCAAGAUGUUGAAAGGCGGCUUCGGCUGUCACUACUAGAUGGGCCCGCGGCGUAUUAGCUAGUUGGUAGGGUAAUGGCCUACCAAGGCGACGAUACGUAGCCGACCUGAGAGGGUGAUCGGCCACACUGGGACUGAGACACGGCCCAGACUCCUACGGGAGGCAGCAGUAGGGAAUCUUCCACAAUGGACGAAAGUCUGAUGGAGCAACGCCGCGUGAGUGAAGAAGGUUUUCGGAUCGUAAAACUCUGUUGUAAGGGAAGAACACGUACGAGAGUAACUGCUCGUACCUUGACGGUACCUUAUUAGAAAGCCACGGCUAACUACGUGCCAGCAGCCGCGGUAAUACGUAGGUGGCAAGCGUUGUCCGGAAUUAUUGGGCGUAAAGCGCGCGCAGGCGGUUCUUUAAGUCUGAUGUGAAAGCCCACGGCUCAACCGUGGAGGGUCAUUGGAAACUGGAGAACUUGAGUACAGAAGAGGAAAGCGGAAUUCCACGUGUAGCGGUGAAAUGC
rnacentral:rRNA from 1 species